GGGGCCGUAGCCCAAUCGGCUAGGAGGCAAUGCGUUUAGGUCGCAUACAGUGCGGGUUCGAAUCCCGCCGGCCCUA
rnacentral:tRNA from 1 species